CUGAUUGAUUCUGUCAGCGCUAUAUGCUCAGUUUAAAGAUUAAGCCAUGCAUGUCGAGUUCAUCUAAAGAGAAACUGCGAACGGCUCAUUAGAGCAGAUGUCAUUUAUUCGGAACGUCCUAUUGGAUAACUGCGGCAAUUCUGGAGCUAAUACAUUCAAAGAAACCCUGACUUUUGAGAGGGUGCUAUUAUUAGAGCAAACCUAUCACCUACGGGUGCUGUUUGCCGACUCUGAAUAACGCAGCAUAUCGGCGGCUUGUCCGCUGAUAUUCCGAAAAUGUGUCUGCCCUGUCAACCUUAUGGUAGUCUAUUAGUCUACCAUGGUUAUUACGGGUAACGGAGAAUAAGGGUUCGACUCCGGAGAGGGAGCCUUAGAAACGGCUACCACAUCCAAGGAAGGCAGCAGGCGCGAAACUUAUCCAAUCUUGAAGAGAUGAGAUAGUGACUAAAAAUAAGAAGACCAUUCCUAUGGAACGGUCAUUCCAAUGAGUUGAUCAUAAACCUUUUUUCGAGGAUCCAGUGGAGGGCAAGUCUGGUGCCAGCAGCUGCGAUAGUUCCAGCUCCACUGGUGUAAAUCGUCAUUGCUGCGAUUAAAAAGAUCUCCAGUUGUUCA
rfam:Heligmosomoides polygyrus genome assembly, scaffold: HPBE_scaffold0008052